ensembl:snRNA U6 U6 spliceosomal RNA
GUGCUUACUUUGGCAGCACAUAUACCAACAUUGGAACAAUAUGGAGAAGAUUCACAUGGCCCCUUUGUAAGGAUGACAUGCAAAUUCAUGAAGCAUCCCAUAGUUUA